CACCCGCAUUGCUGUUAAGACAAAACCCCGCCUUCUCCCCGCCCCCGCAGCCAGCAUCCCUGGUACUGAGGCUGCAGGAUCCUGACACAGAGAGCCUGCAGUCGCUGGGAGCCGCUCCAGGACACAGCCUGUGCGAGGGAAAAGGUUUGAACAAGAGGAGGAAGAGUAAAGGGCAGCCAGAGUCUUUGGUUUGAGUCCGGAGAGUUUGAGCAAAUAGUUGGUUGCUGGGUGGAGGACAGUGGAGGGGCAGUUACCUGGCUAUGUUUUCUCUCCCUGCUCUACCUUGAGCUCCGAUCAGCCAGAUGUCCAGAGUGGGGACUCACCACUGCAAGGGCCUCUGGCCCUCAGAGCAGCCUCACAGGAAGGACUCAGGGACAUAUGAGCACAGCCAUUCAGACCAAGGACUGCGAGCCAGACUGCCUGGGUUGAAAUCCUACCCUGCUACUCACCGGCUGUGCCACUUUGGAUAAAGACACUGGACGAGAGAAUAAUACUAAUAGCUGCCAUGUGCUGAGUGCCCGACAGGCGACUUGCUCAGGGUCACACAGCGGGUCAGUGACAGACCCAGAACUGGA